AGCGUAGGUGGCUUGAUAAGUCAGAUGUGAAAUCCCCGGGCUUAACCUGGGAACUGCAUCUGAUACUGUUGAGCUAGAGUAUGUGAGAGGAAGGUAGAAUUCCAGGUGUAGCGGUGAAAUGCGUAGAGAUCUGGAGGAAUACCGAUGGCGAAGGCAGCCUUCUGGCAUAAUACUGACACUGAGGCUCGAAAGCGUGGGUAGCAAACA
rnacentral:rRNA from 1 species